UACAGAGGUCUCAAGCGUUGUUCGGAUUCAUUGGGCGUAAAGGGUGCGUAGGUGGCGCUGUAAGUCGGGUGUGAAAUUUCGGAGCUUAACUCCGAAACUGCAUUCGAUACUGCGGUGCUUGAGGACUGGAGAGGAGACUGGAAUUCAUGGUGUAGCAGUGAAAUGCGUAGAGAUCGGGAGGAACACCGGUGGCGAAGGCGGGUCUCUGGGCAUCUCCUGACGCUGAGGCGCGAAAGCUAGGGGAGCAACGGG
rnacentral:rRNA from 1 species